rnacentral:misc_RNA from 1 species
GAUGAAGAACGCAGCGAAAUGCGAUACUUGGUGUGAAUUGCAGAAUCCCGUGAACCAUCGAGUCUUUGAACGCAAGUUGCGCCCGAGGCCAUUAGGCCGAGGGCACGCCUGCCUGGGCGUCACACGUCGUUGCCCCCCCAUCUACUCCUUCGGGAUUGCGGGGGGCGGAUGAUGGCCUCCCGUGCGCCUCGUCGCGCGGUUGGCAUAAAUGCCAAGUCCUCGGCGACGCACGCCACGACAAUCGGUGGUUGCGAAACCUCGGUUGCCCGUCGUGUGCGGUCGUCGCGCAUCGAGGGCUCGAAAAAAUUGUCGGGCUCCGGCUCGGCUUUCAACGCGACCCCAGGUCAGGCGGGGUUACCCGCUGAAUUUAAGCAUAUCAAUAAGCGGAGGA